CGGUAGGCUUAACACAUGCAAGUCGUGCGAGAAAGUAUCUUCGGAUAUGAGUAGAGCGGCGGACGGGUGAGUAACGCGUAGGAAUCUACCUAGUAGAAGGGGAUAGCCCGAGGAAACUCGGAUUAAUACCGUAUACCUCCUUAGGGAGAAAGAGGGCCUCUCUUGAUGCUCUCGCUAUUAGAUGAGCCUGUGUAAGAUUAGCUUGUUGGUGAGGUAAUGGCUCACCAAGGCUACGAUCUUUAGCUGGUCUGAGAGGACGAUCAGCCACAUUGGGACUGAGACACGGCCCAUACUCCUACGGGAGGCAGCAGUGGGGAAUAUUGGACAAUGGGCGCAAGCCUGAUCCAGCCAUACCGCGUGUGUGAAGAAGGCCUUCGGGUUGUAAAGCACUUUAAGCAGGGAGAAAAAGUUAUAAGUUAAUACCUUAUAACCGUGAUGUUACCUGCAGAAUAAGCACCGGCUAAUUCCGUGCC
rnacentral:rRNA from 1 species